rnacentral:lncRNA from 1 species
AUGCCGGGAAGCAGGUCCCACGGGAUGUGUGUCGCCGCAGGCCCGUCCCGGAAGCCGGCCGGGAGACUGUCAAGAUCUCCACUUAGGGCAGUGGGAAUCUUAUUUGCGGAACACUGGGCAGAAGCUUUGCCAUUGGCUGGUGAAGAAGGAGGAGGCAGAAUGUCUGCAUUGUUACACCAUACAGUUCAAACUUCAGAAGACUUUGGAAUCAGCAGUUAUCAUUAGUCUGCAGAUGAUCAUGUUUUCACCUGAUCAUUAGAAACUAAUGAAACACCUUUUAGGUCUUAUGAAUUCAGGUUACCCUGUUUUCCAGAUGCCUUGGCAGCUGGUACAGGUAGGAUUGGGCUGGGUUUUGUGGGGAAUGAUGAAAGGGAAAAAACUCAUGUUUCAUGUUUCCUAGUUCUUGCUGAAGUUAAACAUCUGGGCAUGUAAAGAUUAGGUUAACUAACCUCUGCUAUUAUAUAGAAUAGAGUUAAACCUGGAGAAAUGCUUUGAUUAUUACAUUAGGAUUUUUAAAACUAGAUAUGAAAGGCAGUUCCCUCCACUUCUGUUUGUGGGUUUAAAUUUAUGUUGUUUUGUGGUACAGUUUAAAAAUAGUGGAUAGUGCUGGGUGCAGUGGCUCACGCCUGUAAUCCCAGCACUUUGGAAGGCUAAGGCGAGCAGAUCACCUGAGGUCAGGAGUUCGAGACCAGCCUGACCAACAUGAAGAAACCCUGUCUCUACUAAAAAUAAAAAAUUAGCAGGGCGUGGUGGCGCAUGCCUGUAAUCCCAGCUACUUGGGAGGCUGAGGCAGGAGAAUCACUUGAACCCAGGAGGUAGAGGUUACAAUGAGCUGAGAUUGCACCAUUGCACUCCUGCCUGGGCAACAAGUGCGAAACUCUGUCUCAAAAAAAAAAAUAGUGGAUAGCUUUUUUAUAUUUUGCUUUCUGUACUAAAUAUUAUAAGUGAUAUUAACUUUGUGUGUGUGAGGUUAUACUCAUGCUGUUGGGUAUAUUAUC